GAUCAAUCUGCAAUCCUCGUCACAAUGGGCAAAGUGUUGGCUGUUUUGAUACUCCUUGUUUGUUUGCUUAGCGUAAUUCAUGCGCGAUAUUAUGGCCAUGGUAAUCAGUGCUACGGAUAUUGUGACCAGUACACGAAUUGUGGUUUUAACGGAUACUGCGACUUCAGAUAUGGUUACAGUGGAUUAUGCUGUAUAUAUGGGGGAGGUCGGCGCUAUUGAGAAGAGUGAGAAGGCACACAGUGAGCUGCUUUAUUGAUGAUAUGCUGACAAAGCCAUAAAAAUGUCUCAAGUAGACAAAUCAAAAUCAUGAAAUAUAUUCAAUUCAGAA